CGGAAUCAUUCUGUGGUCAAAGGAUGGACUUGGAUUAGGAGUCGAGAAUCAGCUGCCAGGCUUCCCACGUUAUUCCAUCGUGGGGGACCACGCAGCUGGGGAAUUCAACCUCCGCAUCGAGAAAGCCCAGCUCAUCGAUGACGCCGUGUACGAGUGUCAGGCUACACACGCCGCCCUGAGAUCACAGCCAGCACGACUGACCGUGCUCAAGAUUGAAGAGCAUGACACUGGUGAAAAGGAUUACAACAAGCUGGAUAGCAGAGGUGGAGGAGCAAAUUCAGGAGUUCUUCCAUUUGGUGGACUGGAUGGUGUUCAAGAAAUCAUCAGAUGACUUCAGUCAAGUUUCUG